rnacentral:rRNA from 1 species
UACGGAGGGUGCGAGCGUUGUUCGGAAUCACUGGGCGUAAAGCGCGUGUAGGCGGCCUUCUAAGUCCGAUGUGAAAGCCCGGGGCUCACCCCCGGAAGUGCAUCGAAUACUGGGAGACUAGAGUACCGGAGAGGAAGGUGGAAUUCCUGGUGUAGCGGUGAAAUGCGUAGAUAUCAGGAGGAACACCGGUGGCGAAGGCGGCCUUCUGGACGGAUACUGACGCUGAGACGCGAAAGCGUGGGGAGCAAACAGG